UGGCGAAAUGGUAGACGCUACGGACUUAAAAUCCGUUGGUUUUUUAGAACCGUGAGGG
rnacentral:tRNA from 1 species